ACGAACGCUGGCGGCGUGCCUAAUACAUGCAAGUCGAGCGGAUUCGAUUGGAAGCUUGCUUCCGAUCGAGUUAGCGGCGAACGGGUGAGUAACACGUGGGCAACCUGCCCUUAAGAUUGGGAUAACUCCGGGAAACCGGGGCUAAUACCGAAUAGGAGUUUGAAGUGCAUACUUCAAACUGGAAAGUUGGCGCAAGCUAACACUUAAGGAUGGGCCCGCGUCGCAUUAGCUAGUUGGUGGGGUAAAGGCCUACCAAGGCGACGAUGCGUAGCCGACCUGAGAGGGUGAUCGGCCACACUGGGACUGAGACACGGCCCAGACUCCUACGGGAGGCAGCAGUAGGGAAUCUUCGGCAAUGGACGAAAGUCUGACCGAGCAACGCCGCGUGAGUGAAGAAGGUUUUCGGAUCGUAAAACUCUGUUGUAGGGGAAGAACGACUCAUAGACGAAUAGGCUAUGAGUGUGACGGUACCCUAUUAGAAAGCCACGGCUAACUACGUGCCAGCAGCCGCGGUAAUACGUAGGUGGCAAGCGUUGUCCGGAAUUAUUGGGCGUAAAGCGCGCGCAGGCGGUUCCUUAAGUCUGAUGUGAAAGCCCCCGGCUCAACCGGGGAGGGUCAUUGGAAACUGGGGAACUUGAGUACAGAAGAGAAGAGUGGAAUUCCACGUGUAGCGGUGAAAUGCGUAGAGAUGUGGAGGAACACCAGUGGCGAAGGCGACUCUUUGGUCUGUAACUGACGCUGAGGCGCGAAAGCGUGGGGAGCAAACAGGAUUAGAUACCCUGGUAGUCCACGCCGUAAACGAUGAGUGCUAAGUGUUAGGGGGUUUCCGCCCCUUAGUGCUGCAGCUAACGCAUUAAGCACUCCGCCUGGGGAGUACGGUCGCAAGAUUGAAACUCAAAGGAAUUGACGGGGGCCCGCACAAGCGGCGGAGCAUGUGGAUUAAUUCGAUGCGACGCGAAGAACCUUACCAAGGCUUGACAUACAGGGAAAACUGGCAGAGAUGUCAGGUCCGCAAGGGCCCUGUACAGGUGGUGCAUGGCUGUCGUCAGCUCGUGUCGUGAGAUGUUGGGUUAAGUCCCGCAACGAGCGCAACCCUCGUCCUAUGUUGCCAGCGGAUAAUGCCGGGGACUCAUAGGAGACUGCCGGGGUCAACUCGGAGGAAGGUGGGGACGACGUCAAGUCAUCAUGCCCCUUAUGUCUUGGGCUUCACACAUGCUACAAUGGCCGGUACAAAGGGCUGCUAAACCGCAAGGUGGAGCGAAUCCCAAAAAGCCGGUCUCAGUUCGGAUUGGGGUCUGCAACUCGACCCCAUGAAGUCGGAGUCGCUAGUAAUCGCAGAUCAGCAACGCUGCGGUGAUACGUUCCCGGGCCAUUGCACACAC
rnacentral:rRNA from 1 species